rnacentral:rRNA from 1 species
GAUGAACGCUGGCGGCGUGCCUAAUACAUGCGAGUCGAGCGAACAGACGAGGAGCUUGCUCCUCUGACGUUAGCGGCGGACGGGUGAGUAACACGUGGAUAACCUACCUAUAAGACUGGGAUAACUUCGGGAAACCGGAGCUAAUACCGGAUAAUAUAUUGAACCGCAUGGUUCAAUAGUGAAAGACGGUUUUGCUGUCACUUACAGAUGGAUCCGCGCCGCAUUAGCUAGUUGGUAAGGUAACGGCUUACCAAGGCGACGAUGCGUAGCCGACCUGAGAGGGUGAUCGGCCACACUGGAACUGAGACACGGUCCAGACUCCUACGGGAGGCAGCAGUAGGGAAUCUUCCGCAAUGGGCGAAAGCCUGACGGAGCAACGCCGCGUGAGUGAUGAAGGUCUUCGGAUCGUAAAACUCUGUUAUUAGGGAAGAACAAAUGUGUAAGUAACUAUGCACGUCUUGACGGUACCUAAUCAGAAAGCCACGGCUAACUACGUG